rnacentral:rRNA from 1 species
CAAAAACAUGUUCUUUUGAUAAUUAUUUAAGGUUUAACCUGCCCAAUGAGGUAUUGAAUGGCCGCGGUAUUUUAACCGUGCUAAGGUAGCAUAAUCACUUGUCUUUUAAUUGAGGGCUAGAAUGAAUGGUUGGACGAAAUAUUAACUUUCUUUAAUUUAGUUUUUGAAUUUAAUUUUUUAGUUAAAAAGCUGAAAUCUUUCUGUUGGACGAGAAGACCCUAUAGAUCUUUAUAUAUUAAUAAUUAAGUGUUUUGGAGUAUUUUUAUAUUUGGAUUAAGCAGAUAUUUAGUUGGGGUGAUUGUAGAAUUUUUUAAACUUCUAUUUUUUUAUUUUAUUUAUUGAUGUUUUUUUGAUCCAUAAUUAAUGAUUAUAAGAUUAAGUUACCUUAGGGAUAACAGCGUUAUUUUUCCGGAGAGUUCUAAUCGAUGGAGGAGUUUGCGACCUCGAUGUUGGAUUAAAAUUA